rnacentral:misc_RNA from 1 species
UGUUCGAGCGUCAUUACAACCCUCAAGCUCUGCUUGGUAUUGGGCCUUGUGUUUAUCCACAGGCCUUAAAAUCAGUGGCGGUGCGUCUGGCUCCAAGCGUAGUAAUUUUUCUCGCUUUGGAAUCUCUCGGUUGCUUGCCAACUAACCCCCAAUUUUUUAAGGUUGACCUCGGAUCAGGUAGGGAUACCCGCUGAACUUAA